rnacentral:misc_RNA from 1 species
AUGCACAGGAAGCUUUAUCCAGAGGUAAUGCUAUUGCCCAUAAAUUCAUAAUUAAUCAUUGUAUUCUAGGUUCUCUUUCAUGCUCUCAUAUCUUGUUUUACAUGCACUGCUCCAGUUAAUGAUUCGUGACAAAGGCCGCAGAUAAAUAACAUAUUCUCUCAGACCAGACUCUAAGCGGAGAAAACAUGAUAUUUGUAUUUGCAAAGUAGACUCAAAACAAAGAUGGUACACCCUUUUCCUUUUCUGCAAGUAUGUUCUGUUUAAGUGGGAUUACAUUUUCCAUUGAUACAUCUCACAGUUGGGAAAUAUAUUUCUAAUGUAAUUAUUUGUCUGAAAAACAUAAGCCUGCCACUAGGCCAUAACUUUAUUGUUCAGAUGUCACUUGGGUUUGGCAGCAAGGAUGGGAACCUACCAUUGAAUUCAAAACAGACAUGGUGAUGAAUGAUAUAUUUGGAAUGUUUCUGAUCUUGUAAUUUUCCUCCCCACCAUCAGGUUUCAACCUUUCAGCAUGUUCAUCAAGCAAAGGCAGCAGAUCCAACUGCUUCAAGGUAGUGAUGAACUGCAAACCUUGAGGGAGCAUCCUUAGACGCAAGCAGUUGUGGAAGUGGAGGUACUGUAAGCUUGGCAAUGCUCCCUCUUCAAGUUCUGUCCAUGCCUCAAGAACAUGAGAAGCAAUGCUGAGAACCUCAAGCUUUGGAAAUCCACCUGCUUUGCAGAAUUCUUUCCCCAACUGCUGUGCAUCAAAAGCAUGCCACAAGGUUAAAUUUUCCAAAUUGGGUAGAAGCUGAAGAACUGAUGUUGGGUUCUCGGAUAAAUGAGAGAAACCUAGUCUUAGCUUUGUAAGAUUUUCCAGUGAGCCAAGCCAGCUAGGUAUCUUAUCUAGGAAACCUUCAAGGCGAAGUUUCCUAAGAAGAGGUGGAGGCAAGAAUGACUCCGAGAGCACAAGGUGGUUCUUGUUGUAAGCAUGUUUUGCUUCUAAAGACAGGCAGAGAAGACCUUGCAUCUUCAUUAUGGAGGUGUGUAGCUCACCAGCAUUCUCUUCAGCAACGUCCAUCACUCCCAGUUUUCUGAGCUGAGUGAGCUUGUCUAAUUCCCCUGCUAUGCCACCCCCAGCAUGCACACCGGUUAGUGUCAAGAGGUUUCUUAAUCUACCUAUUCCCUCUGGUAGCUUCAUCCCACUAACAUUUAUGUUCUUGAACAUUUUGAGAUGCCUUAAUUUUACGAGACUUAAGACGUUCGGUGAUAGUGUUGAUAAAUUCCUACACCAUCUGAUAUCUAAAGUCUGCAGUGCUCGUAAUUUACCAAGUCUUGCUGGAAGGUCAUUUAUGUUGCUGUGUUUCAAGCCAAGAUAUGUCAGGUGAAUUAGGUCUCCCACUUCAUCUGGUAAACUCUGGAUUUUGGUGUCUUCUAGAUCUAGCACCCGUAAAAACUUUGCCCAUGUCAAAUCCAGCCAAGUUCCUUCCAAAUGAUCUUGAUUCCCAAACAAGAAUAAAGAACGAGGUUGGAGAUUUUUUAAACUGUGCCCAGUUUUCAUCAUGUCUGAUGUUAAAACAUGGCGUGCUGUAUGGGGGAUGGUCAAAUCUGAAUUGGCAAGAGUACUUACAAAAUUUUCACCAAUGAAAUUGCGAUAUGGAGAAGAAACAGUGAAUUUGGUUCCAUGCUCCAGGUGUUCAUCCUUCACUUUAAGCAUUCCCUGUCUGACCAGCUCAUUUAUGUUUUCCUCUGCUAUGUCCUCCAACAUAUGUCCUGUUUUUUCUUGUAUCAGACCUUCGACUACCAACAACCGGAUCAAUCUCCCCUUGUUUAUCCAGUAAUUCGCGGUGAAUAUACAACAAUAUUUCAAACAAGCUUGAAGGUAGUAAGGUAAAUUUCUGUAUUUUAAGUUGAAUGAAACCAAAGUUGAUGUCUGACCUUCUUUCUGCCCGGGAACUUGUUCCCCUUCACCUUCAUUCUCUUCCUUCCAUCCUUCAAUGGUAGUUGAACUGAAUUGCAUCUGACUUUCUUCCUUUCCAUAAGAUUGUUCCGUGUUAUCUUUUUGCUCUCCAGUAUCUUCUUCUGCUAUGGCUGAUUCUGCCAUUCUGCGGAUGAUUUCAGCAAGUUGAGAUUCUAUCUUCUGUAGUUCAUUACUGAAGCAUUGUGUCAAUGCCAACCUAUCGGAUCCGAUUUGCUUAUCCAUCUGAAUGAUGAACUCAUCAACUUGGUCGUCCAUGUCAUGAACCAAAUCUUGAAGUUGGUUGACCCAAGUCGAAAAAGCAUCAUCAUUUCCUCCGCUGCCCCUAUCUCCCAAAAAUUCCCCAAUCUCCCCGAGUGAGCAUUUUAUAUGUUCGAUUUGAUCAUUAAGGGCAGCGAAGGUCAGAGUCUCUUGAAGCAACAGAGAUUCCAAUCUCUGUAGGAAGAACUUAACCAGAGCCUCUGCCAUUUCUGCUAAUUUUAAAGAACAACUGGUUUUCUCAAAGGAUAGAAGAUAGCGGAGUAUUGUGUAGAGGUUUUAUACUGAAAUGAUUUAUGGUGAUUGGUCAAGGUCUUCCAUUGUUCUUUGUGUUCCUUUCUGCGUGAAGUUAAAGCAAUUUCUUAGUUUAUGGAGAAGACAUCAAUGAGCUCUAUCGUUGACUUUAUGAUGGAAACCCCAAAGCAUAAUGAAACAGUGCCCUGAAGGGUCCACCACUAGGCGCAUUCUAGAACAAGAAUUAGAGUUGCUAGUUUUGAUGUAACCAAAAAUGAAAAAUUAUUAGUUUUGAAAUAGCAAAGCCGGGGCAAGGGUUGUUAGUAAUUUUUUUAGUAAUUUACUCAGAAAAAAAUGAGGG